rnacentral:misc_RNA from 1 species
UAAUAAGUGUUUUAUGGCACUUUUUAAAUCCAUAUCCACCUUGUGUGCAAUGACAGUCGAUCUUCUUCAUGGAGAUCGACCAAACAUCAACCUUUAUCUUUUAACUCUUUGUCUGAAAAAUAUUAUGAAUAAACAAUUCAAAAUA